rnacentral:rRNA from 1 species
GAUGAACGCUGGCGGCGUGCCUAAUACAUGCAAGUCGAGCGAACGGACGAGAAGCUUGCUUCUCUGAUGUUAUCGGCGGACGGGUGAGUAACACGUGGAUAACCUACCUAUCAGACUGGGAUAACUUCGGGAAACCGUAGCUAAUACCGGAUAAUAUUUUGAACCGCAUGGUUCCAAAGUGAAAGACGGUCUUGCUGUCACUUAUAGAUGGAUCCGCGCUGCAUUAGCUAGUUGGUAAGGUAACGGCUUACCAAGGCAACGAUGCAUAGCCGACCUGAGAGGGUGAACGGCCACACUGGAACAGAGACACGGUCCAGACACCUACGGGAGGAAGCAGUAGGGAAUCUUCCGCAAGGGGGGAAAGCGUGACGGAGCAACGCCGCGUGAGUGAUGAAGGUCUUCGGAUCGUAAAACUCUGUUAUUAGGGAAGAACAUAUGUGUAAGUAACUGUGCACAUAUUGACGGUACCUAAUCAGAAAGCCACGGCUAACUACGUG